UGCGAGUUGUAAUUUGAAGACGUAUUUUGAAGUAAGCACAUGUCGAAGUUCCUUGGAACAGGACGUCACAGAGGGUGAGAAUCCCGUGCGAUGUGUUCACUGCUUCAUGUAAAAUGCAGUCGAAGAGUCGAGUUGUUUGGGAAUGCAGCUCUAAGUGGGUGGUAAAUUCCAUCUAAAGCUAAAUAUUGGCGAGAGACCGAUAGCGAACAAGUACAGUGAUGGAAAGAUGAAAAGAACUUUGAAAAGAGAGUGAAAAAGUACGUGAAAUUGUUGAAAGGGAAGGGCUUGAGAUCAGACUCGGGCAACCGGGCCAGCAUGGGGUGGGGGAGUAGGAUAACCCUGCAGGAAAGUGGCUUCGCUUCGGUGGAGUGUUAUAGCCUGUAGCUAUACUGCUACCCUCGCCCGAGGACUGCGGAAACAAGGAUGCUGGCAUA
rnacentral:rRNA from 1 species